rnacentral:lncRNA from 13 species
AGAAUAGCAUCUGAACCACAGUUUUGUUUUUUGGGAACAGCCUGAGGAUUCAGGUCUGGGGUUCCAGUGUUUGUGAAGGACAAGAAAUACCAAGAGAAAGGGAUCCAGGAAGCUGAGACAGAUAAAGCGGUCUGUGACUGCCAGUCCUGGGGACAGAAGCUGCUGCCCACAAUUGGCUGAAUCCUCGGAUGCAGAACUCAGUGAUACUGAAGGCCAAUUGUACAUCGUUGGUGGAAUGCAAAAUGAUGCAGCUACUUUAAAAGAGACUGAACGUCCCUCCAAUGGUUAAAAAUAGAGCAACCAUAUGACGCAGAAAUUUCACUCCUAGGUGAAGAAGGAAGAGGAGCAGGGGAAGAAGAACACUUUUGGAGCCCUCACUAGCAAAGCAUUUACUUUGCGCAUCUAAUUCUCAUAGCAACCCCGCAGGUAAGUACAAGUCUCAUUUUGAGUUUAAAGAUAACAAACAUAAG